AGGUGGUAAGCAAGGCAAUACAGAUGGAGGUAAUAUAGGGCCUUGAGAUGGGACACAGGCAUAUCUGUGAAUAAUGUAGAUCUAUGCUCCUAAAUCUCUCUCAAGGCCCUGUAUUGUGUAAGGUCAGCUCUCCCCUACAGGGUGGUUCUGUAUUUCAUUGUAAAGUAAAUUGAUCAAACAACUGUGCCAGUUCUAGAAAGAAAAUUUUACCAUGGAACCUAUUAAAGCUUUUCCCUUAAACUACUUUCUUUUGUGUUUUAGUACAGGACUAUUUGAAAUUAAUUAUCCUCUAAUUUGUAGUUGAGGCACUUAGUGACUGUAAGUGAUAGCAUCUCCACAGUGCAGUUAAUGUUAUGCUUCUUUGUGUACAUAAAUACUUCACAAAUGCAUUUUUCUCUGAUGUCAAUUGAAUUCUAAUAUGUUAAAUAGGAUAGCUUCCGUAUAGCACUUAGCAAUGUAUUCCAGGUGCUUGAAAGCAAUUUUAGAGAGGGUGAAAAUUCUCAGCAAAUAUCUGUCUGUUUUCUACUACACUACAUUAGACCUAGUAUUCAGUUAGUAAUAAGCAUACUUUAUUUUUAAAAAUACUUUUUUAGUAUAAAUCUGUUUGAUUCUAAAGACAGCCGAGUGAUUUGGAUUUUCUGUUGAGCUUUUUAAUGUGGAUACAGUUGAAAUUCUGAUGAAAAACAUAUCAAAAGGUUAAAAAGAAAAGAGAGGGGUAAUUCUUUUUAUGUUCUGAGAAACAACUUUUUUUUUUUUUUAACUAUAGUGAAAUUGAGAGCAAGAAUUACACGAGGGAUUUUUUUAGGAGGCAUUUACUUUUCCAGUGUUAAGUAAUAUUUUAAUGAUUCUUGGUGAGGGAUCUCUGUACUUUUGGGAAAUUAGGCUCAGUAAAUUGUAAGUUGCACUGGAGAAAACAAAAUAUCAGCUGCCCUCAAAGACUUGGUCUAUGGAAUUAAAAUCUUUAAUUAAAAAGGAAGAAGUGGCAAAAGAUCUAGCAUUAAUUGGGGUUCAAAAAACUGAGUGAUAAAUUAAUACUAGAAAAUAAAUAUUGUAUUCGUGCAGUUAAUACAUUGUUCAUCUUAUGAACCCAUUCAAAUGGGGAAAAAAAUGCCUAAAUAUGGUUACUAGAUGGAUUUUUACUCUUUUAGAUAAAGCCCUGAACUUUGAAAGCACUCUCUGAGACAUUUUUAUGCAUGUCUUGAUUGUUAUCCCUCCAUCAUUUAUGCUAUAAUGCAUUACUGGAAGAUCUUGAGUAAAUUUAAUUUCCUUACCAGCUGCAGUCUUUUCCUUUUGGCAAAGAGUGAUUAUGUUUGGCUGCAUUUAGAAUAAGAAUAGAAAAAGCUUUUCACAGUGUUUCUCAGAUCUGUAGGGGUGUGUGAAGUACUGAAGUAGGAAGUGGUAAUGGCAGAGAAACCUCUGUGAUGGGAGGUGACACAUUCUAAUACAGUAGCAGAGCUCUGAGGGAAUUAACUUCUUUUUUACCAACACUUGGAAUAUGAGCCAUACUAUUACUGCAGACAACAUCGCAGAAACUCUAACAAUGAGAGAAACAUCUAGAGUGUAUUUUAUCGUCUCCACCCAGUGUUAGGUAGUUAAGAAACCUACAAGCUUGAUCAGCAACUCAGCAUUGCAUAUGUAAUUUCCAGAGUGUCAGACUCACUGGACAUAUUCUCGGUGAUGAUACGGAUAUGGGGAUCUUCUGGUGGUUUUUUUUUUUUUAAAGCAGUUUGCAAAUGCAAAAAAAACAUCUCCCAUAGCUGCAUUUCGAAGAGUCUCAAUACAAGAACUCCAUCAUUUUUUCCCUUAUUAUAAUUUCAUUUGAUUAUACCAUACUAAUACUUGCUGUUCAGGUGUGCAGUAGAAGGACCUCGAGGUCCACUGGUUGGCCAUGAGCCAGCAGUGUGCCCUUGUGGCCAAGAAAGCCAAUGGUAUCCUGGGAUGCAUUAAAAAGAGCAUGGCCAGCAGGUCAUGGUGGGUGAUCCUCCCCCUCUACUUUGCCCUGGUGAGGCUACGUUUAGACUACUAUAUCCAGUUCUGAGCUCCCCGGUUCACAAAAGACAGGGAUCUCCUAAGAAUCCAGUGGAGGGCCACAAAGAUGCUGGGAUGCUUGGAGCAUCUCCUGGAGGAAAGGCUGAGUAACCUGGCUCUGUUCAGCCUGGGGAAGAGAAGGCUGAGGAGGGAUCUGAUAAAUGUUUAUAAGUAUCUAAAAGGAGGUGGGAGGCAAAGGCUGAGGUCAGGCUCUUCCCAGUGGUGUGUUGCAAUAGUACAAGGAAUGAUGGCCUGAAACUUUUAUAGAGGAAGUACUAAGAUGUGGAGGAACUACCUUAUGGUCAGGAUGAUGGAGCACUGGAACAGGUUGCCCAGACAGGCUGUGGUGUCUCCUUUAGCAGGCGAGUUGGACUCGACCUCUUGAGUCCCUUUCAACCCUUGCAAUUCUGUGAUAUGUUCUACUAAAUUUGUUUUAUUAUUACUCAGUAUGUAUCUAUGUCCUUAGUAUGACUGCAUCUUGAGGUGUGUUAUUGCACUGGGAAUGUUUAUUUCCUUGACCUUGACAUACUGUAAAAUCAAACUGAACAACAAAAAACAAACUUAGAAGGCAGAGGAAAAGAUAAACACAGCAUGAUAACCACAACAACUCAGCAAGCUUCAGUCUUACCUAAAUGAGAAUCAGCAGAAAUUUAGACUAAUUAAAUUCCAUGCUUAAUGACAGACUGUAUGAGCCUGAUUAGCAGAUUCUCUAAUGAGACCCUUGGGACUUGGAAAGCAGAAAUACAGUGCCCUACGAGGUUAUUAAGGCAUAGCAUCCUCACCAAAGUUUACAGAGCUGCUACUGUGGAUGGGAGAGCAGAGCACUCAAGACAGCCAACCCACGAUUCCUAGAGCAAAUAAGAGCUGAAAAAGCAGAAGAGAAAGUGCAGCACCCUGACAUUGCUCUUGUUGUUGUUGUUUGUGUACUCCAUCUAGGAGAAGAAAAGUUCUCCAGGGAACAAAAAGAAGGGAAUUUGAGUGUGUUCCAGUAUUUAAGUGAACGAAAGAUUAACUGUGUAUUUAUUAAUAUAUAUUUACAUUUGCAUUUUCAAGUUUUGCCAUUACUCAGAGAAAGUAAUGUUGUCUGCUCAGAGAAUGAUGCUUCUGAUCUAUUUAAUUUCACCAUCACAGUAUUUACUGUGAUUUGCCAGAGAUCUGCAACUAUUUCCAUUUUUUUUGGCACUGUACUUCAAAGUGUGCUGCCGAACAAGUUAAAUGUGGGGAAAGAACUGGUUCAUUUUCUUCUUGCAAGUUAGAACGUGUUCAGAGCAGACAGAAGUAAGGGCUUUGAGCUUUCACUCUUAAGUCAGAGUCAUCCCCAAGUCCACUUCCAUAUGAAUCUUUAUUCCUUUGGUGACUGCCCACUAGAAUUCUUUGGUUUGUUUCCUCCUGUCUGUCUCUGUUAUAGAUAGAGUCCCGCUACCUCCCCACUUGUCCUCAGUGUGUACUGAUUUGGGGAUUUGUUCUUCAACCAUAAGUCCUUACUCAUACUCAGUGCUUGUUCUGAGGGAUUGGCUGCCAUAUUC
rnacentral:lncRNA from 1 species